rnacentral:snRNA from 1 species
GAAUUUGAGGGCAAUGUAACAGUGACAGCUGUCACAUCAUUGAUUGUCGGGGUUCGUUCAGCUUGACUACCUAGACAGAUAUCACUUCCUCCCUCAUUGUUUCAGUGUGUCCCUUCCAAGCCUCCAUGCUCAGUGAAAGAGGACCACCAUCCCAGAGAAGAGAAAUAUCUGAUCUUUUGUUUGUUAAGGGUACACAGUAGCACUAGUCCCCUGCCACACACUCCAGAGAAAUUCAAGAUCCAUCUUGCCAGUGCAUCUGUAAGAUUUACCUUU